rnacentral:rRNA from 1 species
UGCCUUUUGUAUAAUUAAUAAAAGGUAAAUCCUGCCCAGUGACCUACGGGUUAAACGGCCGCGGUACCCUGACCGUGCUAAGGUAGCAUAAUAAUUCGCCCUUUAAUUGUGGGCUUGUAUGAAUGGAUAAACGAGAGAAUAGCUGUCUCUUUAGCAUAAAUAAAAUUUGACCUUUAGGUGAAGAUGCCUAAAUAUAAUUAGAAGACAAGAAGACCCCAUAGAGCUUAGUUCUUAAACUUUAUUUUUGCAAAAUACUCAAUAUAUUUGUUUUAACAAGCUAAAAACUUAGCUGGGGCGGCUAAGGAAAUUAAUCUUCCAUUUAUAAAAUAUCUAGGCAAAUAAGCCAUAUAAAUUGACCCUUACGAUCAAAAAAUAAAGCUACCUUGGGGAUAACAGAUUAAUCCUUCUUGAGAGUUCACAUUAACAGAAGGGCUUGACACCUCGAUGUUGGCUUAAGAUACCCAGAGAGUCAGCAGCAGCCCUCAAAGGUAGGUUUGUUCAACCUUUAAAAUCUU